GAUGAACGCUGGCGGCGUGCCUAAUACAUGCAAGUCGAGCGAACAGACGAGGAGCUUGCUCCUCUGACGUUAGCGGCGGACGGGUGAGUAACACGUGGAUAACCUACCUAUAAGACUGGGAUAACUUCGGGAAACCGGAGCUAAUACCGGAUAAUAUAUUGAACCGCAUGGUUCAAUAGUGAAAGACGGUUUUGCUGUCACUUAUAGAUGGAUCCGCGCCGCAUUAGCUAGUUGGUAAGGUAACGGCUUACCAAGGCAACGAUGCGUAGCCGACCUGAGAGGGUGAUCAGCCACCCUGGAACUGAGACACGGUCCAGACUCCUACGGGAGGCAGCAGUAAGGAAUCUUCCGCAAUGGGCUGAAGCCUGACGGAGCAACGCCGCGUGAGUGAUGAAGGUCUUCGGAUCGUAAAACUCUGUUAUUAGGGAGGAACAAAUGUGUAAGUAACUAGGCACGUCUUGACGGUACCUAAUCAGAAAGCCACGGCUAACUACGUG
rnacentral:rRNA from 1 species